GUAACAUGUAGUACUACAGAGGUGAGUACAGAUGUAACAUGUAGUACUACAGAGGUGAGUACAGAUGUAACAUGUAGUACUACAGAGGUGAGUACAGAUGUAACAUGUACUACAGAGGUGAGUAGAGAUGUAACAUGUAGUACUACAAAGGUGAGUAGAGAUGUUACAUGUAGUACUACAGAGGUGAGAUUAGAUGUAACAUGUACAACAGAGGUGAGUACAAAUGUAACAUGUAGUACUACAGAGGUGAUUACAGAUGUAACAUGUAGUACUACUGAGAUGUGAUGUAACAUGUAGUACUACAGAGGUGAGUACAGAUGUAACAUGUACUAGAGAGGUGAAUACAGAUGUAACAUGUAGUACUACAGAGGUGAGUACAGAUGUAACAUGUAGUACUACAGAGAUGAUAUGAGAUGUAACAUGUAGUACUACAGAGGUGAGAUGAGAUGUUACAUGUACGACAGAGGUGAGUACAGAUGUAACAUGUAGUACUACAGAGGUGAGAUGAGAUGUAACAUGUAUGACAGAGGUGAGAUGAGUUGUAACAUGUAGUACUACAGAGGUGAAUACAGAUGUAACAUGUAGUACUACAGAGGUGAGAUGUGAUGUAACAUGUACUACAGAGGUGAGAUGUGAUGUAACAUGUAGUACUACAGAGGUGAAUACAGAUGUAACAUGUAGUACUACAGAGGUGAG